CCUCUCAGUGAAGCUCCACCCCCCUGUCUCUCUAGAAGCAGGCACACACCUGUGCCUCUUUAAGAGUAGAUUUAUAGAGAGCACUCAGGAUCUCUCUGUAGGCAUUGUGGUCCAGUGUGGCUAGAGAGCAGGUAUGUCUUGUAGAAGUUACGAGUCAAGGCUGACAAUGUUGUUAACUUCUGAGCCACCUGUCGUCCAGACCUCGUCAGCUGAAUAGCCUGUUGCGCUAAAGUUCACCACAGACAAGGCAGUGGUUGUUAACCCUGAGGUGGAGUCAGAGCUGGGUUGACUACUUACUGCAUUGUUUAAGGUGGCUGCGCACCAGUGUGAGUGGUGGUGUCAAGACACCUGGGUGGCCUACAAGUCUGGCUCCUGUAGAUGCUGAGUUGAAACCCGUGUCUCUGAAUUUUAUUAACUGUGGGAAACCCAUGGCAACUGGUGAUCCUGCAGGUUUGACCUUUUCAAGUCACUCAUUAAGACUGCAAUUUAGUCUUAAAACCUGUCGCACUACCAGACAACCUCUGGAUUAAUAACAGUCGGAGUUCCCCUCUACUUGUCAGAACUGGAAAUCUGCCGAAAAUCAUCCUCAAAAUAUACGUGUGUCCCCAGACUGAUUAAACAGAAAUGGCCUUCCCUUUUAUCCUU